rnacentral:rRNA from 1 species
CACGUAGUUAGCCGGAGCUUUCUUCUCAGGUACAGUCUUUUUCUUCCCUGAGGACAAUAGUUUACAAUCCGAAAACCUUCUUCCUAUACGCGGCGUCACUGCGUCAGAGUUGCCUCCAUUGCGCAAUAUUCCCGACUGCUGCCUCCCGUAGGAGUCUGGGCCGUAUCUCAGUCCCAAUGUGGCCGUUCAACCUCUCAGUCCGGCUACUGAUCGUCGCCUUGGUAGGCCGUUACCCCACCAACUAGCUAAUCAGCCGCAAGCUCAUCUAUCAGCGAAUUGCUUCUUUCCCACUAUCAUCAUGCGAUGACUAUGGCAUAUGCGGUAUUAGCAGUGAUUUCUCACUGUUAUUCCCCUCUGAUAGGCAGAUUUCUUACGUGUUACUCACCAGUCCGCCACUAACCGCUUACCUUGCAAGCAAGGUAUUAAGUUCGUUCGACUUGCAUGUCUUAUGUGCGCCGCAGCGUUUAUCCUGAGCCAGGA